AUCUGAAGCCUGACGAGGAUGAGAACCUCCGGGGGCAAGAGGUUCGACUCGAGCGCAGCGAGAGAACGUUGCGUCAGCAACGGCCCGCAGGGCGAGCCACGCAGUGGCGAGUCAUCCUCUAUCACCAGCA
rnacentral:sRNA from 1 species